UGUGGUUACAAUAGCAAAUAAAAGAUAAACCUGUUCCCAUUAUGAACACAGAAGUUAAGCUCUUUAGCGAUGAUGGUACUUGGUAGGCGACUGGCUGUGAGAGUAAGACAUAGCCACAU
rnacentral:rRNA from 2 species